CACGACUGACAGCAGUAAAAACAGACGAACGACAGACGCUGAAGUCUCUCUUGUUUACUAACAGUCUGUAUGGGGUUUUUCUUGAAGCUUUCUCAUUUUUCUUGCUAUGCAAGCAAAUAAUUUUAAAACGUUACAGAAUAAGGAACUGUUAACUCGGUGGAUUUACAAAUAGCUGAAGAUGGCUUUGGUGCCCUAUGAUGAGAAUCUACUUCACCAGACUUCAGCUGAAUUUAAUCUGGCCAAUCACAGGAUCAGACUCGAUUGGGUGUCGCUGCGGUUGUGUGGGACGCUGUAAAUUCAGUUUCAUCAACUGCACUUUUAGUGGGUAAAAAUCUGGACUGGUAAAAGAAAGGUUGCAGAGGAAGUCCGCUUUGUGGCAGAUGAGACGGAUAGUUCCACCUGAGCGCAGUCAAUAAAGAAGACACUAUGCCA